rnacentral:lncRNA from 1 species
AGAUUGUCCGUCGAGGAUAUAUAAGGGCCGACUGAAGUAGUUGCGACGAAAGUUCGUCGAGAAUAUGAAUAUUAAAACCCCAAAUCUAUCAGUAUCGCCUCACUUGCUCAUAAACAUUUUUCCCUCUCUCUCUCGACUGUUCACCUGCUCGAUCUCUCCCUCUCUACUCUGCUCCUCCGGCCGGCGCUCCUCCAGCAGUCGUCGGUCCUCCGGCCGGCGCUCCUCCAACAGUCACCUCUCCUCCGGCCGG